rnacentral:misc_RNA from 1 species
CCAAACUUGGUCAUUUAGAGGAAGUAAAAGUCAUAACAAGGUUUCCGUAGGUGGUCAGUAAACCCCUUAUCCUAUUAUCUUUUUUUCCAGCUAACGUUUCACAGAACCUGCGGAAGGAUCAUUAAUGAGCGGGGGGUGCCAGUCGGCGCCCGUCUCUCCAACCCUUGAAGACCCUUAAAAAAUAGUUGCUUUGGCGGGCCGCGAAUUUUUUUCCCACCGGGAUUUCCGGCGAGUGCCCGCCGGAGGCUCAUCAAACUCUUGCUCAAACAAUCAGUCUGAACAGUGGAUAAAUAAAUGCAGCUUAAAAACUUUCAACAACGGAUCUCUUGGUUCUGGCAUCGAUGAAGAACGCAGC